AACGAACGCUGGCGGCAGGCCUAACACAUGCAAGUCGAGCGCUACCUUCGGGUGGAGCGGCGGACGGGUUAGUAACGCGUGGGAAUAUACCCAGUUCUAAGGAAUAGCCACUGGAAACGGUGAGUAAUACCUUAUACGCCCUUCGGGGGAAAGAUUUAUCGGAAUUGGAUUAGCCCGCGUUAGAUUAGAUAGUUGGUGGGGUAAUGGCCUACCAAGUCUACGAUCUAUAGCUGGUUUGAGAGGAUGAUCAGCAACACUGGGACUGAGACACGGCCCAGACUCCUACGGGAGGCAGCAGUGGGGAAUCUUAGACAAUGGGCGCAAGCCUGAUCUAGCCAUGCCGCGUGAGUGAUGAAGGCCCUAGGGUCGUAAAGCUCUUUCAACUGUGAAGAUAAUGACGGUAGCAGUAGAAGAAACCCCGGCUAACUCCGUGCCAGCAGCCGCGGUAAUACGGGGGGGGUUAGCGUUGUUCGGAAUUACUGGGCGUAAAGCGUACGUAGGCGGAUUAAUAAGUUAGAGGUGAAAUCCCAGGGCUCAACCCUGGAACUGCCUUUAAAACUGUUAGUCUUGAGAUCGAGAGAGGUGAGUGGAAUUCCAAGUGUAGAGGUGAAAUUCGUAGAUAUUUGGAGGAACACCAGUGGCGAAGGCGGCUCACUGGCUCGAUACUGACGCUCGAUGUACGAGAGUAGUAGGUGGGAGCAAACAGGAUUAGAUACCCUGGUAGUCCACACCGUAAACGAUGAAUGCCAGACGUCAGCAAGCAUGCUUGUUGGUGUCACACCUAACGGAUUAAGCAUUCCGCCUGGGGAGUACGGUCGCAAGAUUAAAACUCAAAGGAAUUGACGGGGGCCCGCCACAAGCGGUGGAGCAUGUGGGUUUAAUUCGACGCAACGCGCAGAACCUUACCAACCCUUGACAUACUUGUCGCGGAUUCCAGAGAUGGAUUCCUUCAGUUCGGCUGGACAAUGUACAGGUGCUGCAUGGCUGUCGUCAGCUCGUGUCGUGAGAUGUUCGGUUAAGUCCGGCAACGAGCGCAACCCACGUCCUUAGUUACCAGCAUUUAGUUGGGUACCCUAAGGAGACUGCCGGUGAUAAGCCGGAGGAAGGUGUGGACGACGUCAAGUCAUCAUGGCCCUUACGGGUUGGGCUACACACGUGCUACAAUGGCAUCUACAGUGAGUUAAUCUCCAAAAGAUGUCUCAGUUCGGAUUGGGGUCUGCAACUCGACCCCAUGAAGUUGGAAUCGCUAGUAAUCGCGGAACAGCAUGCCGCGGUGAAUACGUUCCCGGGCCUUGUACACACCGCCCGUCACACCAUGGGAAUUGGGUCUACCCGAAGGUGGUGCGCCAACUAUUUAUAGGGGCAGCCAACCACGGUAGGUUCAGUGACUGGGGUG
rnacentral:rRNA from 1 species